UACAGAGGGUGCAAGCGUUGUUCGGAAUUACUGGGCGUAAAGGGCUCGUAGGCGGCCAACUAAGUCAGACGUGAAAUCCCUCGGCUUAACCGGGGAACUGCAUCUGAUACUGGAUGGCUUGAGUUCGGGAGAGGGAUGCGGAAUUCCAGGUGUAGCGGUGAAAUGCGUAGAUAUCUGGAGGAACACCGGUGGCGAAGGCGGCAUCCUGGACCGACACUGACGCUGAGGAGCGAAAGCAUGGGGAGCGAACAGG
rnacentral:rRNA from 1 species